rnacentral:pre_miRNA from 1 species
CAUGUACUCUCUCCGUUCGGAAUUAUUCGUCGACGAAAUGAAUGUAUCUAGAUGUAUUUUAGUUGUAGAUACAGCCAUUUUUAUGACAAGUAAUUCCGAACGGAGGGAGUACGGA